UCGCCACCACAUCACCACCGUCACUCAUCAUCGUCGCCACGCCUCUCAGAAUUCAGUUUUCUUUUCUCGACCACAAACAACAAAUCGAUCACAGAAGCAGAGCUAUUCACCACAUUAACGUUCUUUCUCUCUUCACAACCUCGAAUAAUCACUUCGAUUCUUCGUUCAGUUCACAACGUCAAUUCAUAGCUCGAUUCAUCAGCAUUCCAUUCGUUAUAGAAUCUUCAUCUUAGGCUGAAGCUUAGCAAUCAUCGAUUUCGGCAACCGCCAGUGUCCAACCAUCAACAAUUCAACGAUAUCGAUCUUCGGAUUGCAGCUCUAGCUACCAAAAGGCAGCAUUGUUUCCCGUUGUAUUAUUGUGAAAUUUGACAGUGAAGUUUUUCUUCCAAGGUAUUAUUGUGUUGCAUAGGAGGUGUUUGAUAAAUUGUCUCAAUGAAAUUUGAACCUGUUUUGCAAUUGUUUUUGCAGGUUUUGGUGUUGGUUGAGGUUUCUGUGUUGGAUACGAUUUCAGAGGGUGGGGAGCUCUGUUCUUGGAGGUCUAACUUGACAGUUCCAUUUUCUAGAUUUGCAGAUAUGGUGGUCUGACAUCUUUAAAAAGGUCUUACUUGUUUACCAUAUUUAUGAAAUUAGUACUGAUCAAAUUAGUUUAUUUGUUCCCCGGAAUAUCUC